GUAAGACUGCUGUCUCAGUUUGGUUGAAGAAGGAUGGAUGUUCUUUUUUUUUCAUAUCUACACGUUUGUAAAAACUAAGGGAAUUCAUAUGACCUACCAACAUUAAAAAUAACCACAGCGUGAAUGAGGAGGAGACAGGAAGUAAAGAAGAUAGACAUGUGUCUUUGACAAGUACAACAGAGUUGGCAAGUUGCAGUUGUGACAAGAUGAGAAGGAAAACCAGAACAAAAGGCGAUGAUUGAACACAAAUUAUUCAACAUUUCUCUGUUUUUGUUGCUUCUUUAUUCAGGAGCACUUAGUGGAGAUCUUUCGCUCACCUUCAUUGUCAGAGAUGGAGAUAAAGUCACUUUGCCUUGUCAAAAUCGGAUCAACAAUCAUCACAACUGUCACACUACCACCUGGCUCUUCACUGAUUCAAGAAGCACAGCAGCAGUAGAGCUGGUUAAUCAUGGACAGAUCAAAGAAACAGCCAAAUCAGACAGACUGAGUGUUACAGCAGAAUGCUCACUGGUUAUAAAGAAGGUCACAGCUGAGGAUGUUGGUCGUUACACCUGCAGACAGUUUAGAGGCAAUCCAGGGACACAGCAAGGUCCAGAUGCUGUGGUUCAUCUGUCUGUUGUCGUCAUGACUGAAAAGAAGAACGCUGAUAAAGUAACUUUAAGCUGCUCUGUGUCGACAUUUGAUCGGUGUAGACACAAAGUGAAGUGGAUUCAUAACAGAAGAGCUCUGGAUAGAGAUUACUCAAAUUUAAAAACAUCACAGUCUUCCUGCUCUGCAACUGUGACUUUCUUGAAUCUUACAUAUGGUCACAUAUCAAGUUCUGACUUUAAGUGUAGCUUAAAAAGAACAGAAAAUAACAAAGAGCAGCUUUUUACCUUCAGCCAUCAUUCAUCAGGUGAAGAAACAAAUACAGCAACAACAGUCAAAUUAGACACAAUGACUACAAUAAAAGAGCUGGAAAUCAUGGAUGGUUCAACAAACUUACCAGAAAUAAAUGCAGCAGCAACAAUUAAAUUGGAAAUGAUGACUGAAUCUGGCAUUAAAGGAGGUCUGACAACAAAACAGCUGGAAAUCAUGAAUAGUUUGAGAAAAUUACCAGACUGGUCCUGGUACAGGCUCGCCAUUGUGGCCCUGGGUUUAGUAGCACUUAUAGCAGCUGUUGUUGUCGUCAGCAUCUGGAUAAGAGCUGGGAAAAAAGCACAGAUGGAUGAAAACAUGGCUGAUGUCCAAGAUGUUGUUCUCUACGCCUCCCUCAGCUACACUGAGACCACCUACAGCUGUCCAGGUCUUCAGGUUCCCCAUAAAGACGACGAAGAAGGUGAAGCUGUGACCUACAUUAUAUGUCCAGUCUCUUCUCCUGGACCCGCUCCCAUCAACCUCUAUGCUAGCAUCAACAAACCAAAAAACUAAAACACAGAAAAAACACACAGAAUCUCUUUUUAUUUGAUAACUUCUUUCUUUCUUUCCAUUCUUGUGUAAUGAAAGAGGGUUUCUGUUUGGCUAAAGUUCCCAGGAUUUAACUACAGUGAUAAUGUAAUCUGUAUUUUAAUUAUUAAUUUCUAACACAGAAUGUUGCACUAUAUUUUUUCAUAGAUUGUUUAUUGCUUUAUGUGUUUGUAUAUCUGCAGAUUAGGCCUGACGAUUUUAUGAUAUUAAAAAGUGUUUUUACAUUAUGUAAAAUCCCAAGCAGCUAAUAAAGGCUCCAGCACAUGAGUUUUAUUGUCACAGUACUGGGUCUCUGACCCUGUGUUUUUGUUGGUUUUAGUUAUGUUCUUUGUUUAUUGUAUUUCAUGGGUUUUGGUUCUCUUCAUUGUUUCCUGUAUGUGUUAUAUUCUUAGAUCCUUGGAUUUAGGUUUCCUGUUAGUUUGCCUUCCCUGUGUCCCAUGUCUAGUUACCUUUGUCUCCAUCUUCCUUCUGCCUCCCCAGUGAGUCGUGUCUUUUGUCACUCCUGUCUCUCUGCUCCAUGUUCAGUUUGUUCAGUGUCAAGUCAGCGUCUUUGUGUUAUAUUUCCUGUUACUUUGACGUUCCCUUGUCUCAUGUCAGUGUUUGUGGUUUUGCUUUCCCUUGGUCUUUUCAUGUUUGAUUCCUCCCAGCUGUGCCUUGCUCCUGUGUCUCAUUCCCUCGUUAUCCCUCAGUUUAUUUAACCCCUGUGUUUUCCUUGCUCUGUGUUGUGUUGUACGGUGUGUGUUUACCUGUGUGCACCUCUCUGUGUGCUUAGUUUAUUUUUCCAGUGUAGUUUUGUAUUGUUUCUCCCAGCCAGCAAAUAAAGCUGUGUUUUUUUUAGUUUGCUCUUUGCCUCUGUGAGUCUGCAUUUGGGUCUUCUCCUACCA
ensembl:lncRNA